GGCUACUAGAAAAUUUAGCUGGGUGAGGUGGUUCACACCUGUAAUCCCAGCACUUUGGGAGGCCAAGACAUUUCCCUACAUACCUAGAAUUUUGUUUACGAUGAACAGAAUGUUGGGUAAGAGUCUCUUGAGCUGAAACAGUUACACCCCCGCAGCUGGGAAAAGCUAUUCCCUCUGCGUUAGGCCAACGGGAAGCCCACACCUCCUGAUACAACCCAUACCACGGUUGCCUUCCCUCCUGGAUGUCACAGAGAAGGAUUUAAAAAUGACUCCCGGCCAGCAUGGUGUCUCACGCUCAUCACAUUGGGAGGCCUAGACGGGAAGAUCGCUUGAGGGCAGCACUUCAAGGCAAGCCUGGGCAACAUAGGGAGACCCUGUCCCUAUUAUUUUUUUUUUUUGAUGUUAAAAAAAAUUUAAUUUAAUUAAAUAAAAAUGGUUCCCAAGUCAAAGAGAAUAAAGAACCACAGAAGUUA
rnacentral:antisense_RNA from 1 species